rnacentral:snRNA from 1 species
GUGCUUACUUGGGCAGCACAUAUACUAAAAUUGGAACGAUACAGAGAAGGUUAAGGUUAGCAUGGCCCCUGCACAAGGAUGACACACAAAUUCAUGAAGCAUUCCAUAUUUUU